rnacentral:lncRNA from 1 species
AAGAAGACAACCAAGGUCCCCAGUCCCAAGCAGAAGUUGGAAGAACCAGUUCUGGAGUUCAGGCCUCCCCAAGGAGCAAUCACUCAACCACUGAAAAAGCUGAAAAUCAAUGUUUUUAAGGUUCACAAGUGUGCCAUGUGUGGCUUCACCACCGAAAACCUGCUGCAGUUCCACGAACACAUCCCUCAGCACAAAUCGGAUGGUUCUUCAUACCAGCACCGGGAGUGUGGCCUCUGUUACACAUCUCAUGUCUCUCUGUCCAGGCACCUCUUCAUCGUACACAAGUUAAAGGAACCUCAGCCAGUGUCCAAGCAAAAUGGGGCUGGGGAAGAUAACCAACAGGAGAACAAACCCAGCCAUGAGGAUAAUCCCCUGAUGGCACCGUGUCAGACAGAAAGUGCAAAGUGUGCACAAAAACUUUUGAAACUGAAGCUGCCUUAAAUACGGACACACGGCAUGGCCUUCAUCAAAUCCAAAAGGUUGAGCUCAGCCGAGAA